GGAGGGGUGGCCGAGUGGUUUAAGGCGCUGGUCUUGAAAACCAGUGAACGAAAGUUCCGUGAGUUCGAAUCUCACCUCCUCCG
rfam:Nitrospinae bacterium RIFCSPLOWO2_01_FTLL_39_10 rifcsplowo2_01_scaffold_38302, whole genome shotgun sequence.